AAACCAAAAAAACUUGCGACCUACAACGUAUCCCUUUUCUCAACUAAUUCCUCGAAAAGCGCGCGAAAACAGUUGGAAAAAAUUCUUCUCUUUGUUUUUCUUCCUUAUUUUCUUUAUAUUUAUAUAGCAAAAUUCGUUUUUGUCUUUCCCUUUUAUAGUUUCUCUAUUUCUCUAUUCAUAUAAACAAAUAAUGUGAUUUUGAGAAUUGGUUCCUCUUUUUUUGAUUUUCAAUAGGGAAAGAGGUAUUAAUUAGAUCAAAAUUGAGAUGGAUGGGAAUAACUGGAAGGCUCAGGCCCGGGCUCGGGCUCGGGCUCGAGGUGGUGGUGGUGGUGGUGGUGGUGGUGAAGGUACCGGCCUAUCAGCUCCCGCCGGCGGAUUGAAAUAUCCUACAGCUCAGACGAGAAAUGCAAAUGGAGCUGGUUGGUAGGAGGAGGUUUACCAAAAGAUCAAGUCUAUGAAGGAGAUGUAUUUACCAAAACUCAAUGAUCUAUACCAUAAAGUUGCUUCUGAAAUGCAGCAGGGGCAGAUGCAAAUGGGUGGAUGACACCGCUUCGCCGGAAAAAAAUACUGAAUGUUCGUACUAAUAUUCUGCAAAAACGAUACAAUAUAUAGUAAUGACACCACUUCCUAGCAAAGAGUAUUUCAUGAUCCACUGGCCAAGCUCAUAUUUGGGUUUGUAAAGUUCGUAGGCUCGAGGCUGGACCUAGACAUUCUAUUUUUUGAACAUCUUUGAGCGAGCAUUUUUGUUAAAAAUUUGAGGCUACGGAAAAUUGAACCUAUACAUACCUCCCUUUGCAAUAAUAUUCAACUAAACCAUUGGGUCAUGACUUUCAACUUGUAGGAAAAUGAUAUUAAAUAAUAUUUAUUUAUUUUAUUUAUAUAAAUACGACACUGCUUACAAAAAGUUCUGCGUACGCCCGUGUUCUUACAUCUUUGUCAUUUGACAGCUUUGAAGUAUUGUGUAUGAUUGUGAAGUAGAGGUGGUGGUGGGCAGCGUGAAAGGAGUUAUUUGCACAUAUCUAGUGUCCCCAACAUGAGAAAAUUGAAAAGUUCAAGGUGUUCAAGGUAAAGCUGGAAUACUUUGUGCUAUUAUUGCAGCUUAACAAGCACGAUCCAACUUUCGAAACUGCUUUCGGUUGAGAAGCACAUAAAUUUCUUUCUUAUAUCCAAUAAUCCUCCCCAGCCUGAUUCGUCUCCGCUGCAAGGGCAACUUCCUCAGCCUCCUGUGCAUACAAGUCAGACACCUAUGAUGGGUUCUGAUUGGCAAGAUACUGCUUCUCAUUUUGAUGGGUUAGAUGACAGUUUUGGUGGAUUGGGUUCGACACAGAAUAGUUUUGGUAUUGCUACUUCUGGUUUUGAUAGGCUGGGUUCUAGUUUUGGUGGAUUGAGUUCUGGUGCUAAACUUGAUGAGCGUUUAACACAUGUUGAGGAACGACUAGAGAAAAUUGAGGCUCAUUCGAAAAAGGCAGAGGCAUUGUUGACUGAUAUUAACAAAAAACUGAAUUAUUAUCCAGUGAAAAUACGGUAUGUUAAAGUUUCUAGGGACAUUAGAUGUUCAGCUAAGUACAUGAGCUGUCAUUUUCGACCAAAGAGGAAACAUAGAGUAGCUGAGAUGAUAAGGCAGUCGUGCAAACAUCGACGAUUGAGAAGAGGUGUAGUAGAAGUAGUUUUUCGGUUGGUUCGUAUGAUGAUUGUGCCGACGAUGACCAAAGGAAGCUAGAUGAAGAGCAAAAAAGUUGAUACUAAUAACUUAUGAUUUCUUUUCCUUUGUCUAAGAUUUCCUACGAAUAAAGUAAAUUAUCUCUUGCAAUUUACAAAAGAGUUGAUAAUAACUUAUGAUUUUUUUUCCUUUGUCUAAUUUUUUAUUCUCAUUCAAUUUAUAAAUCUUUUCAGUUAUUAA